rnacentral:rRNA from 1 species
AAUGAACGUUGGCGGCGUGGAUUAGGCAUGCAAGUCGAGCGGAAAGGCCCGCAAGGGCACUCGAGCGGCGUAAGGGACAGUAAUGUGUAGGUACGUACCCCUGGGUCUAGGAUAGCUGCGGGAAACUGCAAUUAAUACUAGAUGAUGUCUUCGGACCAAAGGUGUGAUUCCACCCAGGGAGCGGCCUACAUCCUAUUAGCUAGUUGGUGAGGUGACGGCUCACCAAGGCGAAGAUGGGUAGCAGGUGUGAGAGCACGACCUGCGUCACUGGGACUGAGACACUGCCCAGACACCUACGGGUGGCUGCAGUCGAGAAUCUUCGGCAAUGGGCGAAAGCCUGACCGAGCGACGCCGCGGGCGGGAUGAAGGCCUUCGGGUUGUAAACCGCUGUCGGAGGGGAUGAAAUGCCGAUGGGUACUCCCAACGGCUUGACUGAUCCUCGGAGGAAGGGUGGGCUAAGUUCGUG